GUACACGCUGUGACUAGCAUAUCAAUAAGCGGAGGAAAAGAAACUAACUAGGAUUCCCUCAGUAACGGCGAGUGAAGCGGGAAGAGCUCAAAUUUGAAAUCUUCAAGGUUCUACCUUGACGAAUUGUAGUUUAAAGAAGUGUUUUCUGUUGGAGUUUUGGUAAAAGUUCUUUGGAAUAGGACAUCAUAGAGGGUGAGAAUCCCGUAUUUGACCAUUAUUUCCAGCUGUGUGAUACACUUUCAAAGAGUCGGAUUGUUUGGGAAUGCAGUCCAAAGUGGGUGGUAAAUUUCAUCUAAAGCUAAAUAUUGGCGAGAGACCGAUAGCGAACAAGUACCGUGAGGGAAAGAUGAAAAGAACUUUGAAAAGAGAGUUAAACAGUACGUGAAAUUGUCAAAAGGGAAGCGUUUGACACCAGUGUUGUUUUCUCGAAAAUCAAUUAAAAAAGGCAGGAUUUUGUGUUGUAUUGACUUUAUCAGCUUUCUGCACUCUUUUCUUGUCUUUUUUAAUGCACUUUUCGUUUAACAAGUCAACAUCAAUUUCUUUCGUUGUAAAAGGGUCAUUGGAAGGUGGCUUUCUUUUCGGAGAAAGUGUUUAUAGCCUUUGGCCUCUGCGAUCGGAGAGAUUGAGGUCUGCAGCGUAGAUCCUUCGGGGUUAGAUACAUUUGUGCUAAGUUAUAGCCUUUCAUAGACAACUUGUUGACUAUGAUCAGUCAUGUAGCUUACUCGCUUAUGCUAUUUUACCUACGCUUAGGAUGUUGAAUACUCUACAGAGAUA
rnacentral:rRNA from 1 species